rnacentral:rRNA from 1 species
UACGUAGGGUGCGAGCGUUGUCCGGAAUUAUUGGGCGUAAAGAGCUCGUAGGCGGUUCGUCGCGUCGAAUGUGAAAACCCGGGGCUCAACUCCGGGCCUGCAUUCGAUACGGGCGGACUAGAGUUCGGUAGGGGAGACUGGAAUUCCUGGUGUAGCGGUGAAAUGCGCAGAUAUCAGGAGGAACACCGGUGGCGAAGGCGGAUCUCUGGGCCAUUACUGACGCUGAGGAGCGAAAGCGUGGGGAGCGAACAGG